GAUGAACGCUGGCGGCGUGCUUAACACAUGCAAGUCGAACGAAGCACUUAUCUUUGAUUCUUCGGAUGAAGAGAUUUGUGACUGAGUGGCGGACGGGUGAGUAACGCGUGGGUAACCUGCCUCAUACAGGGGGAUAACAGUUAGAAAUGACUGCUAAUACCGCAUAAGACCACAGAGCCGCAUGGCUCGGUGGGAAAAACUCCGGUGGUAUGAGAUGGACCCGCGUCUGAUUAGGUAGUUGGUGGGGUAACGGCCUACCAAGCCAACGAUCAGUAGCCGACCUGAGAGGGUGACCGGCCACAUUGGGACUGAGACACGGCCCAAACUCCUACGGGAGGCAGCAGUGGGGAAUAUUGCACAAUGGGGGAAACCCUGAUGCAGCGACGCCGCGUGAGCGAAGAAGUAUUUCGGUAUGUAAAGCUCUAUCAGCAGGGAAGAAAA
rnacentral:rRNA from 1 species